rnacentral:lncRNA from 1 species
CAAAGUCAGGAUUUCCAGGAAGGCCUAGCUCAGCUCACCUCUGGAAAGGUCUCCAAGCUGUGUGAUCUGGGGAAUCGUGGAGGGGUUUUGAGCUCAGGUGUCUUCUGCCAGCUGGACUCUGAGACCCUGGCCUGCUGGGGCGAGGAUGAGGCUCUGAUGUGGUCUGGUCAACUCUGGGUUGGCCAUCUGCACCACAGGGCUCUAACAAGGGCCUGCUAUAGGCCAUGAGAACCACUGUAAGUGUCCUUGUUCGGCAAAUACUUACUCAUCCCCUGCUGUAUGCCCGGCAAUGUUCCAGGCACAGGAAUUCAUCGGAGAGCUAGAGAGGACAAGAUGUUGUCAUGGAGCUGCAGCAACUGAACGAAAAACCAUGAGAGCCCACGGAGGGCUUUGGAAGGGAUGAGGGAUGGCCUUUUCGAAGAGAGGCACUGGAGUUGAAACCUGAAUGGGACAAGAUCAGGUGGAAGAGGCUUCCAGACAGAGGGGGCAGCUCUGUCAAAAGGUCCCAAAGAAGGAGAAAUCUCAAUGUGUUUAAGAAACAGGUGGGGCUUCUGCCUCACACUCAUUCUAAAACCUUCAACCCCACAGCUUCUGCUUUAGGCAAUGGGGACACCUGGGAAACACAAUAUCCAGAAGACCAGCCCAUCUAUAAAAUUGCCAUGGAAAGGAAGUAAAUGAGGAACAGCCAAAAAUUCUUGGAAGUAGAAAGCACAGCAGGUGUCAAGGAGCCCAUCUCCAUUUUAGAAAGACAGAGAUGCGUUCUGGGCCGUUGCCCGGGAAAGAAUGUCUACCAGGACAGUUCUGAGAAGGCUCAGCAUCAUAUCUAAACACAGGAAAGGAAUUCCCUGUUGGAAAAUUCAGGAUGACAACUGUGGGUAGCAAGCCAAGGCAAAGGGCAGAACGUGGAGCAGCAUUUGAGGCUCCAGCCAAUUCCAGCCUGUCUGCAGGCACUGCCUGCCUCCACGGCUGUCAGGUGUCGCCCCCAGGAGCUACGUAGGGCGAAGCUAGGCAGGCUUUCAGUGCCAGCUGUGGUUUCCCCAACAGCUCACAGGCCAGAGGCCCCGCCCAGGCCACCUCCUCCAGUCCCCCUGCCGCGGGGUGGUCUUCGGUGGUCUCACUCUCCCUCCCACUGCAUUUCCAUCUCUGCUGUAAUAUACCACCUCAGCCCUUCCUUUUUGAUUCCCAAGAGCAAAUUUUGGA